AACGGGUGAGUAACGCGUGAGUAACCUGCCCUGGAUGGGGGACAACAGUUGGAAACGACUGCUAAUACCGCAUAAGCCCACGAUCCGGCAUCGGAUUGAGGGAAAAGGAUUUAUUCGCUUCAGGAUGGACUCGCGUCCAAUUAGCUAGUUGGUGAGGUAACGGCCCACCAAGGCGACGAUUGGUAGCCGGACUGAGAGGUUGAACGGCCACAUUGGGACUGAGACACGGCCCAG
rnacentral:rRNA from 1 species